UACGGAGGGUGCAAGCGUUGUUCGGAAUUACUGGGCGUAAAGCGCGCGUAGGCGGCUCAUUAAGUCAUUUGUGAAAGUCCACGGCUCAACUGUGGAAGUGCAUGUGAAACUGGCGAGCUUGAGUACUGGAGGGGGUGGUGGAAUUCCCGGUGUAGAGGUGAAAUUCGUAGAUAUCGGGAGGAAUACCGGUGGCGAAGGCGACCACCUGGCCAGAUACUGACGCUGAGGUGCGAAAGCGUGGGGAGCAAACAGG
rnacentral:rRNA from 1 species